rnacentral:lncRNA from 1 species
CUCAAGAACAAUUGGGUUGGGUUUUAUUUGUUGUACCAAUCGUGCUUAUACUUAUAGUUCGUUUGGUUUCAUCAAUGGAAGAUUCAGGUUGGUUUUCUGGUGGUUCUGGUUGGGAAAGGCGCAGGACAACACAAGAAAGCACCUCUGGAGGGAGUUCUCCUUGGGGUGUGGCUGCUUUGAUUGUUGUUUUGUUGAUAUUGGUGCAGUUUCAAUCUGUGUUUCUUGAUAGUUGGUUUUAUUGAUUUGGUUUUUGUGUUUUUAUUUCUAUAGGUUGGUUUGGUUUUAGCUGGUUUUGUUUUUAGUUUCAACUAACUAUAUGAACCUAAGUAUUUAGAUGAAGAAAGGAAGGUGUUGUAUAUUUCCUUCUAAAUGAUAGCAAAGUAAAGAUGCAACUGAUAUUUUCGUAACUUUUUAUUAGUAAAGAGGUUUUCUAUUUGCAUAAGUUAUCUCAUGUUUUUCGGUAACUAUGGUAUAUUGGUAUAAGUACACUUUUUAAUUUCUCUGUAAAAAAAACUUUUUUUUUUUUUUAUGGUAUUACUAAUAUAUCAUAUCAGUUUAUUUCUCUCUUUAUUUUUUUCUAUUAAGAUAUAUAUUAAGUGUAUAGAUAUAUUAAAGAUUUUACUAAAAACAAUGCUAUAUUAAAGAUUUUGAAAUAUUCAGUUAGUAAAUUCUACAUCAAUUUCAUUAUAAAUUUGUAAUAAAGUCGAUAGUUCUCUCAAACUUUAUAAAAGCAAAAUAAAACUUCACUGUGAUAUGCUUGAUAGAUAUGUAACUUGUGUACUGUAGAUGCAAUUAUUGGUAGAAAGAAACAUGUUCACACAAUUGGUGUUUAUAUGUGAUAAGUGAAAUGUGUCUUCCUUUAAUUGCUGAGGACACAUUCAUAAUGGACACUCAUAUUCUAACCUAUGUCAUAAUCAACAAUUAAUUAUAACUUUGAAAAAAUAAACGAUAUUAUUUCACUAUAUUAUGUCCUACAAAUACAAUACCAUUCACCUCUUUUAAGGAAUAAAAUCUGGUCACUUUUUUUUUUUUGCAUUUUCUACUUGCCAACACAACACUACCCCUAAUUCUUUGACUUUACCAUAUAUAUCACUAAGUUCCAUAGAUCAAAAGGGUUCUUUCAAGUUUCCAACUUUUGAAUUCUAACACUCAAAAAACCAUAAAACUCAAUGGCUGAUGACAACAACAGAGGCUCCUCUGCUUUGGAUGGUUUCACUCUGAAUCCUCUGCCUUAUCCUGUUCUGUUAAUCUUAGCAGUGAUCUUCAUCUUCCUUGGUACUUCAUGGUACUUUUCUUAUGAAGAAGUUGUUGAAACUGCUCAAGAACAAUUGGGUUGGGUUUUAUUUGUUGUACCAAUCGUGCUUAUACUUAUAGUUCGUUUGGUUUCAUCAAUGGAAGAUUCAGGUUGGUUUUCUGGUGGUUCUGGUUGGGAAAGGCGCAGGACAACACAAGAAAGCACCUCUGGAGGGAGUUCUCCUUGGGGUGUGGCUGCUUUGAUUGUUGUUUUGUUGAUAUUGGUGCAGUUUCAAUCUGUGUUUCUUGAUAGUUGGUUUUAUUGAUUUGGUUUUUGUGUUUUUAUUUCUAUAGGUUGGUUUGGUUUUAGCUG